rnacentral:rRNA from 1 species
AGGAUGAACGCUGGCGGCGUGCCUAACACAUGCAAGUCGAACGGAGUUCUUAAGGAAUGCGACUUCGGUCAAAUGACUUUUGAACUUAGUGGCGGACGGGUGAGUAACGCGUGAGCAACCUGCCUUUCAGAGGGGGAUAACAUUUGGAAACAGAUGCUAAUACCGCAUAAGAUUACAGUACCGCAUGAUACAGUGAUCAAAGGAGCAAUCCGCUGAAAGAUGGGCUCGCGUCCGAUUUAGAUAGUUGGUGAGGUAACGGCUCACCAAGUCGACGAUCGGUAGCCGGACUGAGAGGUUGAACGGCCACAUUGGGACUGAGACACGGCCCAGACUCCUACGGGAGGCAGCAGUGGGGAAUAUUGCACAAUGGGCGAAAGCCUGAUGCAGCAACGCCGCGUGAGGGAAGACGGUUUUCGGAUUGUAAACCUCUGUUUUCGGUGACGAAUAAAUGACGGUAACCGAGUAGGAAGCCACGGCUAACUACGUGCCAGCAGCCGCGGUAAUACGUAGGUGGCAAGCGUUAUCCGGAAUUACUGGGUGUAAAGGGAGCGCAGGCGGGAUAGCAAGUCAGCUGUGAAAACUAUGGGCUCAACCCAUAAACUGCAGUUGAAACUGUUAUUCUUGAGUGGAGUAGAGGCAAGCGGAAUUCCGAGUGUAGCGGUGAAAUGCGUAGAUAUUCGGAGGAACACCAGUGGCGAAGGCGGCUUGCUGGGCUCUAACUGACGCUGAGGCUCGAAAGUGUGGGGAGCAAACAGGAUUAGAUACCCUGGUAGUCCACACUGUAAACG